ACUGCUGGUGCCUGGAGAUGGACUCUGCACUUCUCCCCAUUUUACAGAUGAGAACAGUUGAGCAAGGUCAGCAGCAGAGUCAGAACUCUUCCCCCAUCACCACAGUCAUCCUCAAGCUGGAGCCAGACAUCCACCCAGGUGACCCAGCUUGGAUCAUGUGCUUAGGGCCAUGAGCCAACAACUGAGCCUGAGGAUUAACUUCCCAAGUCUCAGUCCCUUCCUCACCAGUCGGGACACUUGUCAUGCCUGCGAGAUGUCAGACCUGCCUUCCUUCCUCAUUUCCUCCACAACCCACAAGAACACAGCCAGGACCCCUAGGCUUCUCNNCUU
ensembl:antisense Ttc39aos1 Ttc39a opposite strand RNA 1